AUGACGAAGGUAAACUCAUCUGGCUCGAGAGUUGAUGGCGGCGGAGAAAAGAUAGCGGGGGAAGCGGGGGUGACAGCGGAGGUGGAGGCGGCUGAGGUCGAGGGAGGGAGUAAAUCAAGUAGGGAGGAAUCACCAGAUGAGAAGUUGAAGUAUCUGAAUCUCAGGGAAGAAGAAGAGGAAGAUGUGAUCUUGGAGGAAGAUAUGGAGGAACUUGAGAAGGAUGUAGAGUUCAUGGCGCUAGCCCGUGUGCACACCUCGAGAAAAUUCAGUCAUGGGGCCUUCUAUGGAAUGAUGAGAUCAGCAUGGAACCUUGCACAGGAAGUAGAGUUCAGAGCUAUAGAAGAUAACCUGUUCUCGGUACAGAUCGCCUGCUUGGCAGAUUGGGAG
rnacentral:rRNA from 1 species